AUAACUACUCUCAACAACGUAUAUCUCGGCUCUCACAUCGAUGAAGAACGCAACGAAAUGCGAUACCUAGUGUGAAUUACAGAAUCCCAUGAAUCAUCGAAUCCUUGAACGCAAGUUGCGCCCAAUGCCAUUUGGUCGAGGGCACGCCUGCCUGGGUGUCAUG
rnacentral:rRNA from 1 species